AGCUAGUAGGUGGGGUAACGGCUCACCUAGGCGACGAUCCCUAGCUGGUCUGAGAGGAUGACCAGCCACACUGGAACUGAGACACGGUCCAGACUCCUACGGGAGGCAGCAGUGGGGAAUAUUGCACAAUGGGCGCAAGCCUGAUGCAGCCAUGCCGCGUGUAUGAAGAAGGCCUUCGGGUUGUAAAGUACUUUCAGCGGGGAGGAAGGGAGUAAAGUUAAUACCUUUGCUCAUUGACGUUACCCGCAGAAGAAGCACCGGCUAACUCCGUGCCAGCAGCGGCGGUAAUACGGAGGGUGCAAGCGUUAAUCGGAAUUACUGGUCGUAAAGCGCACGCAGGCGGUUUGUUAAGUCAGAUGUGAAAUCCCCGGGCUCAACCUGGGAACUGCAUCUGAGACUGGCAAGCUGGAGUCUCGGAGAGGGGGGUAUAAUUCCAGGUGUAGCGGUGAAAUGCGUAGAGAUCUGG
rnacentral:rRNA from 1 species